rnacentral:rRNA from 1 species
AACGAACGCUGGCGGCAGGCCUAACACAUGCAAGUCGAGCGAAGCCUUCGGGCUUAGCGGCGGACGGGUGAGUAACGCGUGGGAACGUGCCCUUUGGUACGGAAUAGCCCCGGGAAACUGGGAGUAAUACCGUAUGUGGUCGAGAGACGAAAGAUUUAUCGCCAAAGGAUCGGCCCGCGUUGGAUUAGGUAGUUGGUGGGGUAAUGGCCUACCAAGCCGACGAUCCAUAGCUGGUUUGAGAGGAUGAUCAGCCACACUGGGACUGAGACACGGACCAGACUCCUACGGGAGGAAGCAGUUGGGAAUCUUAGACAAUGGGGGAAACCCUGAUCUAGCCAUGCCGCGUGAUCGAUGAAGGCCUUAGGGUUGUAAAGAUCUUUCAGUGGGGAAGAUAAUGACUGUACCCACAGAAGAAGCCCCGGCUAACUCCGUGCCAGCCGCCGCGGUAACAC